rnacentral:rRNA from 1 species
CAGUCGCCACGGUAAUACGUAGGGUGCAAGCGUUAAUCGGAAUUACUGGGCGUAAAGCGUGCGCAGGCGGUUUGUUAAGACAGAUGUGAAAUCCCCGGGCUCAACCUGGGAACUGCAUUUGUGACUGGCAAGCUAGAGUGUGGCAGAGGGGGGUGGAAUUCCGCGUGUAGCAGUGAAAUGCGUAGAUAUGCGGAGGAACACCGAUGGCGAAGGCAGCCCCCUGGGCCAACACUGACGCUCAUGCACGAAAGCGUGGGGAGCAAACAGGAUUAGAUACCCCAGUAGUCCCUGUCUCUUAUAC